AAUGCUUUUUGGCCUUUUGCCUAGUAGUAUAUGUUCUUGUCAGCUUAGUAUCUGAUACAUAUUCUGAGGACAAUGAAUUAAACUAUUUCUGGAACUAGGAGAUGGAAAGGGAGCUUGCUCCAUCCACUCCACCCAUCGAUCUGGUAUUGCAGUACUUUCACAAAUGGUACACCCACU
ensembl:snRNA U2 U2 spliceosomal RNA